GACCUUUGGUUGUCUCUGUUUUGCUUCUGUACCUAAACAACAUAGAGACAAGUUUCAACCAAAGGCUGAUCCUUGUGUAUUCCUAGGAUACCCACUGGGUAAAAAGGGUUACAAGUUAUAUAAAUUGAAAACUAGACUUACACUCAUAUCCAGGGAUGUUGUUUUUCAUGAGGAUGUUUUUUCUUUUGCUUUUCCUUGGAGCAUUUCCUCUGUUCCAUCUUCUAUUCAUCCUUCAUGCCAUGACUAUCCCUCUACUGCUG
rnacentral:lncRNA from 1 species